rnacentral:rRNA from 1 species
ACGAACGCUGGCGGCGUGCUUAACACCUGCAAGUCGAACGGAAAGGCCCUGCUUUUGUGGGGUGCUCGAGUGGCGAACGGGUGAGUAACACGUGAGUAACCUGCCCUUGACUUUGGGAUAACUUCAGGAAACUGGGGCUAAUACCGGAUAGGAGCUCCUGCUGCAUGGUGGGGGUUGGAAAGUUUCGGCGGUUGGGGAUGGACUCGCGGCUUAUCAGCUUGUUGGUGGGGUAGUGGCUUACCAAGGCUUUGACGGGUAGCCGGCCUGAGAGGGUGACCGGCCACAAUGGGACUGAGGGACGGCGCAGACUGCUACGGGAGGCAGCAGGGGGGAAUAUUGCACAGUGGGCGGGAGCGUGAUGCAGCGACGCCGCGUGCGGGAUGACGGCCUUCGGGUUAAGAACAGCUUUCGCCUGUGACGAAGCGGGAGUGACGGUAAUGGAUAAAGAAGCACCGGCUAACUACGUG